rnacentral:rRNA from 1 species
UACGGAGGGGGCUAGCGUUGUUCGGAAUUACUGGGCGUAAAGCGCACGUAGGCGGUUCGAUAAGUCGGAUGUGAAAUCUCCACGCUCAACGUGGAGGGGCCGUUCGAUACUGUCGUGACUCGAGUCCGGUAGGGGAGUGUGGAAUUCCCGGUGUAGCGGUGAAAUGCGCAGAGAUCGGGAGGAACACCCGUAGCGAAGGCGGCACUCUGGGCCGGUACUGACGCUGAGGAGCGAAAGCGUGGGGAGCAAACAGG